CCGAUGAUAGCUCAGUUGGUAGAGCAUGGGACUGUAGAUCCUAUGGUCGGCGGUUCAAUUCCGUCUCAUCGGA
rnacentral:tRNA from 1 species